rnacentral:rRNA from 1 species
UACGUAGGGUGCGAGCGUUAAUCGGAAUUACUGGGCGUAAAGCGUGCGCAGGCGGUUUUGUAAGCCAGAUGUGAAAGCCCCCGGGCUUAACCUGGGAAUGGCAUUUGGGACUGCAAGGCUUGAGUGCGGCAGAGGAGACUGGAAUUCCUGGUGUAGCAGUGAAAUGCGUAGAUAUCAGGAGGAAUACCGAUGGCGAAGGCAGGUCUCUGGGCUGACACUGACGCUCAUGCACGAAAGCGUGGGAGCGAA